rnacentral:rRNA from 1 species
UACGUAGGGGGCGAGCGUUGCCCGAAUUUACGGGGCGUAAAGCGCACGUCGGCGGCUCCGUAAGUCUGGUGUGAAAUCUCACGGCUCAACCGAGAGGCUGCACCAGAUACUGCGGGGCUCGAGGACGGGAGAGGAGAUUGGAAUUCCCGGUGUAGCGGUGAAAUGCAUUGAUAUCGGGAGGAACACCAGUGGCGAAGGCGGAUCUCUGGCCCGUUGCUGACGCUGAGGUGCGAAAGCUGGGGGAGCGAAAGGG